AAUGAACGUUGGCGGCGUGGAUUAGGCAUGCAAGUCGUACGCUUUAUGUAGCAAUACAUGAAGAGUGGCGUAAGGGAGAGUAAUGCAUGGUUAGCUACCCUCGGGACUGGGAUAGCGGCGGGAAACUGCCGGUAAUACCAGAUGACAUCUUCGGAUCAAACGUGUAAAUCGGCCCGAGGAGGUGACCAUGUCCUAUCAGCUAGUUGGCGGUGUAACGGACCACCAAGGCUAAGACGGGUAUGGGGCGUGAGAGCGUGCCCCCACUCACUGGGAGUGAGACACUGCCCAGACACCUACGGGUGGCUGCAGUCGAGAAUCUUCGGCAAUGGGCGCAAGCCUGACCGAGCGACGCCGCGUGCGGGAUGAAGGCCUUCGGGUUGUAAACCGCUGUCGUAGGGGAGGAAGGCUCCGUGCAGAACGGAGUUUGACCGAUCCUAGGAGGAAGGGCCGGCUAAUCUCGUGCCAGCAGCCGCAGUAAGAC
rnacentral:rRNA from 1 species